rnacentral:rRNA from 1 species
AUUGAACGCUGGCGGCAUGCUCUACACAUGCAAGUCGAACGGUAACAGGCCGCAAGGUGCUGACGAGUGGCGAACGGGUGAGUAAUGCAUCGGAACGUGCCCAGUCGUGGGGGAUAACGCAGCGAAAGCUGUGCUAAUACCGCAUACGAUCUAUGGAUGAAAGCGGGGGACCGUAAGGCCUCGCGCGAUUGGAGCGGCCGAUGUCAGAUUAGGUAGUUGGUGGGGUAAAGGCCCACCAAGCAAACGAUCUGUAGCUGGUCUGAGAGGACGACCAGCCACACUGGGACUGAGACACGGCCCAGACUCCUACGGGAGGCAUCAGUGGGGAAUUUUGGACAAUGGGCGCAAGCCUGAUCCAGCAAUGCCGCGUGCAGGAAGAAGGCCUUCGGGUUGUAAACUGCUUUUGUACGGAACGAAACGGUCCUGGUUAAUACCUGGGGCUAAUGACGGUACCGUAAGAAUAAGCACCGGCUAACUACGUGCCAGCCGCCGCUGUAACAC